rnacentral:ribozyme from 1 species
UGCCCAGCAACUCCUAUCCCUACCUCCACGCGGUACCGGCCGGAAACUAUGAGCAACCUUAGGGAAGAUCGGGUAAUCAACCUCGGUGGGAACUUUGGUCGUAGGCUGACAAGGAAGG